ensembl:lncRNA novel transcript
GACAAGCUCACCAAGAAAGAAGGCAGGAUCUCAUGAGAAUGCGUAACAGGACACUCCACCUGGCACGGUAGGUCAGGAAGAGGUCCUCAAAGAAGGAACACGUAAAGUGUGAGCCAGCGGGGCAGGAGUGGAAGCUGCAAGUGCAUCUUUCUGUAUCGCGUUUGUGAGAGCUCAUUAUCGAGUUGACACGAACCCCUGGCCCAGCACAUGCUGCACAUGCCGUACCUUUCUUGUGAAGAAUGUUCCGGGCUCGUACCAGGUCAGGAUCGUCAGGCCCAACACCCAGAAUUCUGAGAGACACAUAGUUGAGCGCAGUCCCAAACACGGUGGACUUAUCCUCAAUGUGCCUACAGGAGCAGAGGACAGGCAAGGAAACUGAGGCUCAGCCAGUAAAUGGUGGGGCUAGGAGGUCAGACCCGAUUCAGUGUUCACCAGAGUGCUGCCCAAUGCCGCACAGGCCACAGUCAAUGGGAGCUGUCUACAUAGCAUCAUGGACCAAGAGCAUUUUCCAAAGUCCAAAAAGAGGGAAGAAAAGCUCCAACUCAGCCAGGAAAAACCAGGCCAUACAGAGAUAGGAGCUGAAGAGACAUAGUGAGAAGUGACCAGAAGACAAGAGUGAGAGCCUUCUGUUAAGCCCGGACAAGGCCACUAGAGGGCUCCUUGGUCUAGCGGUAACGCCAGCAUCUGGGAAGAGG